ensembl:lncRNA novel transcript
UGCAGGGAUAGGGAUAAUGCUUUUAUAUUAGUUUUUCUAUAACAAGAAAAAUCAGCUUUGAGAUUUUUAUCAUUUUUUUCCUUAGAAAAGAAUAAAAAAUAAAGGCACCCGGAACUUCCCCCACAGGCCUGAAGAACAAAGGUGUCUCCUAGGUGCAGCUGGGUCCUUCCUCCCUGGCUCAGCCCAGCCCCAUCACCUCUGCUUCACUCCUGCCCCAAGGCCCCAGCAGCACCCAGGGGGCUCUCCCAUCCUGCCUCCACUGGGCUUGCCCAUUGGAAAAGUGCCUGUGUCCUGCCAGGGCGUGGCAGGGAGGGACUCUUAGCAGAGUGACUGCCCAGCACCUGGAGGAGCAGGGUGGGCCAGGCCAGGCCCGGGCUCCUCAGGGCUCAGUACCAGCACCGGCUCCUCCUCCGCAAAUUCGUUCUCUUCGGGGCUCAGGCUGUGGCCGCCACUUCGGCCAAAUCCUG